GCGGCGGGCAGCGGCUCUAGCGGCAGUAGCAGCAGCGCCGGCUCCCGUGCGGAGGUACUCUCGGCGGUGUUUCUCGAGCAGCUACAGUUCUCACUACAGCGCCAGGACGAGUCCGGUUCGUGUUCGUCCGCGGAGAGCUCUCUCAUCUCGCUCGGCUGCGGGAAAUCGGGCUGAAGCGACUGAGUCCGCGAUGGAGAAAACUUUAGAAACUGUUCCUUUGGAGAGGAAAAAGAGAGAAAAGGAACAGUUCCGUAAACUCUUUAUUGGUGGCUUAAGCUUUGAAACCACAGAAGAAAGUUUGAGAAACUACUACGAGCAAUGGGGAAAGCUCACAGACUGUGUGGUUAUGAGGGAUCCUGCAAGCAAAAGAUCAAGAGGAUUUGGUUUCGUAACUUUCUCAUCCAUGGCUGAGGUUGAUGCUGCCAUGGCUGCCAGGCCUCAUUCAAUUGAUGGGAGAGUGGUUGAGCCAAAACGUGCUGUAGCAAGAGAGGAGUCUGGAAAACCAGGGGCUCAUGUGACUGUGAAGAAGCUGUUUGUUGGUGGAAUUAAAGAAGAUACUGAGGAACAUCACCUUAGAGAUUACUUUGAAGAAUAUGGAAAAAUUGAUACCAUUGAGAUAAUUACUGAUAGGCAGUCUGGAAAGAAAAGAGGCUUUGGCUUUGUUACUUUUGAUGACCAUGAUCCUGUGGAUAAAAUUGUGUUGCAAAAAUACCACACUAUCAAUGGUCAUAAUGCAGAAGUAAGAAAGGCAUUGUCUAGACAAGAGAUGCAGGAGGUCCAAAGUUCUAGGAGUGGAAGAGGAGGGAACUUUGGUUUUGGGGAUUCUCGUGGUGGCGGUGGAAAUUUUGGACCAGGACCAGGAAGUAACUUUAGAGGGGGAUCUGAUGGAUAUGGAAGUGGACGUGGAUUUGGGGAUGGCUAUAAUGGGUAUGGAGGAGGACCUGGAGGUGGCAAUUUUGGAGGUAGCCCUGGUUAUGGAGGAGGAAGAGGAGGAUAUGGUGGUGGAGGACCUGGAUAUGGCAACCAGGGUGGGGGCUACGGAGGUGGUUAUGACAACUAUGGAGGAGGAAAUUAUGGAAGUGGAAAUUACAAUGAUUUUGGAAAUUACAACCAGCAACCUUCUAACUAUGGUCCAAUGAAGAGUGGAAACUUUGGUGGUAGCAGGAACAUGGGGGGACCAUAUGGUGGAGGAAACUAUGGUCCUGGAGGCAGUGGUGGAAGUGGUGGUUAUGGUGGGAGGAGCCGAUACUGAGCUUCUUCCUAUUUUUCAUGGCAUUGAUAUGAACCAUGGACAAGUAUAUUCUGCUGCCACAAAGACUGUAAAGUGCUUCAUUUCAACAGCUGAGGCAAGCCAAGUGAUCAUUAAUAAAGCUUUUCUUGGUUCCUUCAGUGGUGUUGGUAGUAAAAUGGAAGGUGUCUUGCUGCAGGUAACUAAUGAAGAAGUGGUCAACCACAGAGUCUUCAAGAAAUAAGAAAUUCUGUACCAUCUGAAAGUAGUUCUUGUUGGUGCCUUCAUUUAAGAAGCACUCUUUAAGAAAAGGGAAAAAUGCUUUCUGAUAAAACAAACUUCAUUUAGUACAGGUUCUUGAUAAAAUCAUUACAAAAUGAGUGUUGUUUGUAAAGCAUAGCAUCAAGUCAGCUAGAGAGAUAAAUGUAUCAUGUUUUAAAUUAGGUUUUGUGAGUAGACAGAUUAAAGUUCUAUUUUAAAUACAAAUUUUAUAAAAAUAAAUACUUUUGUAUCCAAAUAACUUGGUGUAAUGUUUACACAUAGUGUGAAUCUUGUUCUAUCAACAUUCAGUUGUCUACAAGAUCGCCAUCCUAAAUUUUAAAACAAUUCUCAUGAAACUGCAUAUCAGAUUUUCCUGGAAUAGUAGCAAAUGAAAGAAGCAUUGUGGACAUUAUUGGCUGUCCCUAAUAAAAUGCUAUGUUUAUGCGCAGUGUUUCAA